rnacentral:RNase_P_RNA from 1 species
UCACCGUGAGGAAAGUCCGGGCGUCACAGAGCAGGAUAGCUGCUAACAGCAGCCGAAGGCGACUUUAGGGAAAGUGCAACAGAAAGAAACCGCCGGCCUUUUGACCGGUAAGGAUGGCAAGGCGGGGUAAGAGCCCACCGGGCCGCGGGAGACCGCGGUGCCAUGUAAACCCUAUCCGACGCAACACCGACCGGGAUGCUAUCGUUGGCUCGACGGUCCCGACGGGUGGCUGGAGCGUUUUGGCGACAAAACGCCAAGAUAGAUUGCCGUAUGAAAAACAGAACCCGGCUUACAGGCUUAGUCA